rnacentral:rRNA from 1 species
ACGGGGGGUGCAAGCGUUGUUCGGAAUCACUGGGCGUAAAGCGCGCGCAGGCGGCUUGGUAAGUCAGAUGUGAAAUCCCCCGGCUUAACCGAGGAAGUGCAAUUGAUACUGGCAGGCUAGAGUACGGGAGAGGUGAGAGGAAUUCCCGGGGUAGGAGUGAAAUUCGGAGAUACCUGGGGGACCACCGGUGGCGAAGGCGACUCUCUGGGUGGGUUCUGACACUGAGGAACGAAAGCGGGGGGAGCAAACAG